rnacentral:rRNA from 1 species
AUUGAACGCUGGCGGCAGGCCUAACACAUGCAAGUCGAGCGAGCGGCGGACGGGUGAGUAAUGUCUGGGAAACUGCCUGCUGGAGGGGGGUAACUACUGGAAACGGUAGCUAAUACCCCAUACCAUCAGAUUGGCCCAGAUGGGAUUAGCUAGUGGGGGGGGUAACGGCUCACCUGGGCGACGAUCCCUCGCUGGUCUGAGAGGAUGAGCAGCCACACUGGAACUGAGACACGGUCCAGACCCCUACGGGAGGCAGCAGUGGGGAAUAUUGGACAAUGGGCGCAAGCCUGAUGCAGCCAUGCCGCGUGUGUGAUGAAGGCCUUCGGGUUGUAAGGCACUUUCGGCGGGGAGGCGGUACCCGCAGAAUAAGCACCGGCUAACUCCGUGCCAGCAGCCGCGGUAAUAC